rnacentral:rRNA from 1 species
GAUGAACGCUGGCGGCGUGCCUAAUACAUGCAAGUCGAGCGAACAGACGAGGAGCUUGCUCCUUUGACGUUAGCGGCGGACGGGUGAGUAACACGUGGGUAACCUACCUAUAAGACUGGGAUAACUUCGGGAAACCGGAGCUAAUACCGGAUAAUAUUUCGAACCGCAUGGUUCGAUAGUGAAAGAUGGCUUUGCUAUCACUUAUAGAUGGACCUGCGCCGUAUUAGCUAGUUGGUAAGGUAACGGCUUACCAAGGCAACGAUACGUAGCCGACCUGAGAGGGUGAUCGGCCACACUGGAACUGAGACACGGUCCAGACUCCUACGGGAGGCAGCAGUAGGGAAUCUUACGCAAUGGGCGAAAGCCUGACGGAGCAACGCCGCGUGAGUGAUGAAGGUCUUCGGAUCGUAAAACUCUGUUAUUAGGGAAGAAGAAACGUGUAAGUAACUGUGCACGUCUUGACGGUACCUAAUCAGAAAGCCACGGCUAACUACGUG